GGAAUCUUCCACAAUGGACGCAAGUCUGAUGGAACAACGCCGCGUGAGUGAAGAAGGGUUUCGGCUCGUAAAGCUCUGUUGUUAAAGAAGAACGUGGGUAAGAGUAACUGUUUACCCAGUGACGGUAUUUAACCAGAAAGUCACGGCUAACUACGUGCCAG
rnacentral:rRNA from 1 species